rnacentral:rRNA from 1 species
CAGCCGCCGCGGGAAUACGUAGGGUGCGAGCGUUAAUCGGAAUUACUGGGCGUAAAGCGUGCGCAGGCGGUUGUGUAAGACAGGUGUGAAAUCCCCGGGCUUAACCUGGGAAUUGCGCUUGUGACUGCACAGCUAGAGUAUGGCAGAGGGGGGUGGAAUUCCACGUGUAGCAGUGAAAUGCGUAGAGAUGUGGAGGAACACCGAUGGCGAAGGCAGCCCCCUGGGCCAAUACUGACGCUCAUGCACGAAAGCGUGGGGAGCAAACAGGAUUAGAUACCCCUGUAGUCCCUGUCUCUUAUAC